rnacentral:rRNA from 1 species
UUGGUGUGAAUUGCAGAAUCCCGCGAACCAUCGAGUCUUUGAACGCAAGUUGCGCCCGAAGCCAUCAGGCCGAGGGCACGCCUGCCUGGGCGUCACGC